CAACACAGAUCCACCAGACUCUCUGAGGAGGCGGUCACUUACUGUCAGUCGUGCUUUCAAUAUGUUGGAUUGACUUUAACGGUAACAAAUCAACUUAAAGCGGGGAAUUAUUUCAAAAGACAGAACAAUUAGUGCGGUUUGAGGAGGAAGUUGAGGGUGUGUAAUGGGUUAACGUCGGCAGGCCUCUCCUCACCUUUAGUGCGCGUCACCCGGCUCCGUAAAGUGGUCCCACCAUCCACACCGAAGGGGCGAAACACCGCCGCCAGACGCGCACCUCUCCUCGGUCUGACUCGCAUCAUCCUGCCGGUCUCCGCCCCGCUGCUCCAUCACCGCACGCGAACCACAAAACACCGGGAACUGAAGGAAUAAGUGUGAUUUACCGCAAACAUGAAGGACCGCAUGCAAGAACUUAAACAUGGGAAGGAGACAACAGAGGAGGAGGAUGAAGUCGCUGUGGGGAUGGACAAAGGCUUUAUGGAUGAAUUCUUUGAACAGGUGGAGGAGAUCCGGGGUUUUAUUGAGUCUCUGGCAGAGAAAGUUGAGGAGGUGAAGAGGAAUCACAGCGCCAUCCUCGCUUCACCCAACCCAGAUGAGAAAACCAAGGCGGAGCUGGAGGAUCUCAUGGCAGACAUCAAGAAGUUGGCCAACAAAAUACGCUCCAAAUUAAAGAGUAUCCAAAACUCCAUUGAGCAAGAAGAAAGUCAGAACAAGUCAUCAGCUGACCUGAGGAUACGUAAGACGCAGCACUCCACACUGUCUCGUAAGUUUGUCGAGGUGAUGUCAGAGUACAACACCACCCAGUCGGAUUACAGGGAGCGCUGCAAGGGACGCAUUCAGAGACAGCUGGAGAUCACUGGGAGAAACACAACAAACGAGGAGCUGGAGAGCAUGUUGGAGAGUGACAACCCGGCUAUCUUCACCUCCGGGAUCAUUAUGGACAAUAUCACAGAGCAAGCUAUGAAUGAGAUUGAGACACGGCACACUGAGAUCAUCAAGCUGGAAAACAGCAUCCGAGAGCUUCACGACAUGUUCAUGGACAUGGCCAUGCUGGUGGAGAGCCAGUUGCAGUGGAUGCAUGAAGAACUGGUGAACUGGUGAACAACAUCGAGCGAAGUGUGCUGGGCGCUCAAGAAUAUGUGCAGCAGGCAAAGGACAACAUCCCAAAAUGCAAAAAGUUCAAAAAGACAGGCAAACGGAAGGUGAUGCUGAUAGCGGGUUGUAUUGCAGCAGGUGUGAUCGUCCUCAUUAUUUGCCUCGCAGCUGGACUCAGUUAGGACCCCUAGAAAUCCAUAGAGCUGUCGAUGCCUCCCUCUCAGUGUGAAAUGUAGAAAGUGAGCUCUGUCUUGCGCAGUCAGUUACUGCUAACUGCUAAAGACAGUCGAAUAGUAUGUAAUCAAAUAUUUUACAUUUUAUUUACAGUUUUUAUAUAUAUAAUAUAUAUAUAUAUACUUUUUUCAAAUACCUUGAGGAACUUUCUUGUGCUUUGUGUCUGCUUGUGUCAUGAUUCACGUACUUUUGUCAUGUGCAUGUUCUGCAUCCUGUAUUACAUGUUUUUGUAUACAUACACAACUCUGCAGAGGUGUGAUUUCAUUCAUUGAUCAUUUAAAAAAUGGUCUUGAAAUAAGAGCAAAAUAUUUUUUUAAGUGAUAAAAUGUUUCCCUUUAUAAAGUAUUAAGGAAAUAUUUCUACUGUUUGGGAAAUACACUAAUUUGCAUUUAGGUGAGAGGAUUGGUUAAGAUGAUGUGUAACAACAAGUUGCAUAACGUUUUCUUAGCAUAGAGCAGUGACUUCUGAUGUUAUUCACUUAUUCAAAAAGUUUCACGUUUUUGGGAAAGUUUGAAACAUAUAAAAUAUGUAUGGUUUACUUUUUUUAAAGUUGUUUGCAGUACCACGAGUACCCAUCGCACUGAUUGGCAUGAAAGUAUUUAUUUUGACAUUUAUUUUUGGAAUUCAAAUUAACUGAACUUUAUCAAUGAGCUUAAAGACGUGCUCAUAUGUGUGUGUUGUUUUACCUUUGGACAUAGCCACACACUUUUCCCCUUUAUUAUUUAAAUUAAGCUAAGCUGACCGGAUGCUGGCUUCAUACUCGUUUACAAUAGUGUGGUAUCAAUCCUCUCAUAUAACUUUGUUUCAUACUCAAAGAAAAAAUGGACAAUCUUGGUAAAAAUCGAGCCGGUGUAUAAGACUGCUGUAAGCCUUUUUCUUGAUGUAGUUCCACGCAUAUUAUACAAAUAGUGGCUUUAAAUAUGAAAAAGAUUCACAUUUGUGGAUUGUGUAAAUACAUGUUGUUAAAUUAUUUAUGUUUUUUAAAGUAGAUGAUGUGGAAAUGCUUCUUAACCACAGUCACAUUCCAAAACAUCCUCAGAUACAUCCUCAGAUACAUUCAAAGUAUUUAUCCAAAUCUGAAUUUUGUCUUAAUUAAUAAAACAUCUUGUAACAUGUGUUAAAAUAAAAUACAAAAUCAUAUAUCUAACAUGUUUUCCUCUGCUCCCCAUUUGCUGCCAUGGAUGACUGUUUUUCUAUUCUUGUUUACACUUUACAGAAGAAAAUUAUGAUUAUUAUAUGCUGUGUGAUUUUGGGAGUUGUCAUUGCCUCUAUUGUUGGGGGGACGCUGGCUUAAACCUCAACCACAGUCACACAAAGACACACAACCACACACACACAACAGAGCAAAAACACAACCGAUACACAUUUUCUGUUUCCUGUUUUCAUAAAUGCAAAGUUAAAACAUGUUUAGCGCAAGGUGCUUUACAUUACUGACACAUUCUGCGCACGGCGUACAGGGCCAGAUGUGUUUUCGCAUGAGUUGCUACUUUGUAAAUGUGUGGUGCUGCUAGGUUUAUCUGAGUGUUGAAUGUUGUCAACAAUAUAAUGAUGUUUCCAAAAGUGAAUUCUUGAAUGAAAAGUUACUUAGCGACUUGUAACACUAUACUAAUACAUUCCAACUUCCAAAUAUGACAGUUAUUCGGUUGUAAAGUAUAUUUUGUGUUGUACAGGCAAAAAGAUGGGCCACUAAUCUGCAGUGUUUUCAGAGCCACGUUAUCUAUAGAUACAUAUUUAUUUUUAUUUUACUCUCUGUCUCUGAUGUCCUCUACCUCCCUUCAAAAGCUCUGCAUGGUUUGGUUCACUGUAAAGUAGUGUUUAUUUUCUAUUGCAAAGGGGACGACGUGUUGGAUAUUUUGCUUGUAGAAUUGUCACACUGCCAAGUAUCUUUUGUCGUUUAACUUCACUCAUCUGGCCUAACCAGUUGUGUUACGACAUGCUCUAUUUUUGUGUGUGAGUGUGUGCAUCGGAAAGAGGAUAUGUUCAUUUGUAGUUUCAUGUUUGAAAGUACUGAGUGGGAUGAGAACAUGAGCGUUUGAUAUUAACCACCUGUGUCUUUGUUUUGUAUAAAGUGUAAACAGACUCUCUAACACUGCCAGUAUGUUCAAAUAAACUGUUCAAAGUCUAGUCUGAUAUGGAUUGGUAAUUCUGUUCUGUAAGUGGCAAACCCUUGUUGUUUUAUGUAUUUUUAUAAACCACGAGCUUUAAACAGAACAUAUCUUUCUGUCAAGCUACUUUAUUUUUAUGAGUGAACAUGGUGCGUCAGUGAAAGCAUGAACUUAAAGUAGCCCUGUUAAAGACUCUCAUGACAAGCACAGACUGUACCCAUGUGACCAUGUUGCCUACUCAACGUGUUGCCUUUGUGUGGUAUUGUAAUGACAUCGUUUUGUUUGUUUAAUAUGAGUUUAUUUUUUAUUUUCAAGUAAAGUUUGUCUGAAAAAUCCCAUACAGAGUUUGUGCAUUGAUUUUACAAAGACAUGAUGUUUAGGUGUUUAAAAUGGAAAUUAUUGUAUUUUUAAAAACAGUUUCAUAACUGUGGCAUUUCUGAUAAGUCUUAAGUCCCGGUUUCAGAUUUAUGAAGAAAUGUUUCAUAGUUUACAUGUUAGCUGUUGUGUUUAUCUGGGUGUAAACUGUAAUGUGUGGACGUUUGGUGGGCCUGUAAGUAUAGAUUAAAUAAUCAUCAUGAUCAGAGUAAA